GGUUUGGGGGUGGCACGUUGUCGAAAAUAGUAAUUUGGUUCCUAACUUGCCCUACAAUGUCCUCCAAAAAUGGCUAAGAAAUUUUGAAUCUCGAUCGGAGACGAUAGUGCAGGGUAUCCCAUGCAACCUAACGACUUCCUUGAAAAACAAAUUGGCAAUGUUAGUAGCAUCAUCAAUCUUAUGACAAGGUAUAAAAUGAGCCAUUUUUGAAAAAUGGUCUACAACCACAAAUAUCGAAUCUUUUCCAUGUUUGGUUUUAGGAAGGCCUAGAACAAAGUCCAUAGAAAUGUUUAUCCGCGGUGCAUCCGGUAUGGGCAACGGUGUAUAUAGACCAUGCGGUUUGAUCCGUCACUUUGCUUUCUUACAAGCAAUACAUCAAUCGCAGUUCUUCAUCACGUCGCGUUUCAUCCUUGGCAAAUAAAAGUGUUCUUGCAAUAUGGCCAAUGUUUUAGCAACUUCAAAGUGGCCCAUAAGUCCUCCGCUAUGGGCUUCAUUAACAAGCAUGUCUCUUACGGACCAGUUGGGUAUACAAAGCUUACCUUCACGAGAUAGAUAGCCAUCGUAUUGAUAAUACUUUUCAUAAGCACCUUGCAUACAACACUUAUAUGCCUCACAAAAAUCAAUAUCAAUUUGAUAAAGAUCUUUCAGAAAUUCAAAACCAAGCAGUUUAGAAUCCAAUUGAUUGACAAGUGCUUACCUUUGUGAUAAUGCAUCAGCGACAAUGUUUUCUUUUCCUUUCUUAUAUUUUAUCAUGUAAGGAAAUGACUCCAAAUAUUCCACCCACUUGGCAUGGCACUUGUUUAGCUUUGUUUGUCCUCUAAAGUGCUUCAAGGCCUCAUGAUCCGUAUGAAUGAUAAAUUCCUUCGGCCAGAGAUAAUGUUGCCAAGUUUUUAAGGCCCAAAUCAAGGCAUACAUUUCCUUGUCGUAUGUUGGAUAAUUCAACGUGGCCCCAUUGAGUUUCUCACUAAAAUAUGCUACAGGCCAUCCAUCUUGUGUCAAAACAGCUCGAAUGCCAAUUCCUAAGGCAUCACAUUCAACCUCGAAUGUCUUGUUAAAAUCAGGUAAAGAUAAUAAUGGAGCAUUAGUUAGAUAUUCCUUGAUCUUAUUAAAUGCAUUUUCUUGAUCAUUAGUCCAAUUAAAGGGUGAGUUUUUCUUGACAACAUCUGUCAAGGGGGCGGCUAAGGUACUAAAAUUAGGCACAAACCUUCGAUAAAAACUUGCCAACCCAUGAAAAAUCUACACUUGACUAAUGUUCGUUGGGCACGGCCAAUAUUGAUCAGUUUAUUCUUCUUUUGGUCUACUUCUAAACCACGACACUUACCACAAAACCUAGAAACACAACCUUAUCAAUACAAAAAGAACAUUUUUUAAAGUUAGCGUAAAGUACCUCCUUUCACAAAACUUCUAGCACCACUCGGAAAUGCUGGACGUGAUCUUCCAAUGACUUGCUAUAGAUCAAAAUAUCAUCAAAGUAGACUACACAAAAUUUUCCAAUAAAGGCACGCAAUACAUGAUUCAUUAAACACAUAAGAUUCUAGGUGCAUUCGUAAGACCGAAUGGCAUUACCAACCAUUUGUACAAACCAUACUUAAUCUUGAAUGCAGUAUUCCAUUCAUCUCCCUCCCACAUACGAAUUUGGUGGUAGCCACUCUUUAAGCCAAUCUUUGAAAAAAGUUGGGCUCCGCUGAGUUCGUCGAGCAAGUCAUCAAGGCAGGGAAUGGGAUGUCUAUAUUUGAUGGUGAUCUUAUUGAUAGCAUGACAGUCAACGCACAUUUGCCAUGAACCGUCCUUUUUACGCACUAGCAAGACAGGAACCGUACACUAACUUAGACUUUCUCGGAUGUAGCCUUAUUCCAUUAACUCAGCUACUUGUUCUUGUAACUCCUUCGUUUCCUCAGGGUUACUCUGAUAAGUCAGUCGAUUCGAAAUAGUUGCACCAAGAAAAAGUCGAUUUGGUGCUCGAUGCCUCGUAUGGGAGGAAAACCGCUUGGCACUUCCUCCGGGAAUAUAUCUUCCAGUUCCUAUAACAAAGAUACAAUGGGAGAUGGCAAAGAGUUUUCAAUUUUUUUAGUAUCCAAAAGACAUUCUUUUUACAUAAGUACAAGAAUGGAUUGUCUCUCCAAAAAUAACUUUUGGAUUUCUCACUUCUUCGUAAAGACACUCAUUUUUAUUCUCAAUCUCGUUCUCUUUUCUUUUAUCACUCGCAUUUUUAAAUCACUUUUCUCACCUUUUUCUCUUUUUUUUCCACUUUCUUUUCUUUUUCUUUUUCAUUUUUUUUCUUGCUUUUUUCUUUUGACUUUUCUAUAGAUUGCGUCAUCUUGAGCUAGUCUUUAUAGACUUGCUUCGGUGUAAGAGGGGCUAAAGCGAUGUUCCUUCUGAGAUGCUUGAACGAGUAUCUAUUCGUGUAACCAUCAUGGACAACUCGUCGGUCGAAUUACCAAGGACGACUCAAUAGAAGGUGUCUCGCGUGCAUCGGCACAACAUCUCACAUCACUUCAUCUUGGUACUUGCCUAUAAAAAAUGCCACCUUCGUUUGCUUGGUUACUUUGAGUUCACCUCCAUCAUUUAACCACUGCAAUUUGUAAGGAUUUGGAUGCUUCAUCGUGGCUAAGCCGAGUCUUUCAACGAGCAUGGUAUUUACAAUGUUGGUGCAACUCCCUCUGUCGAUUAUCAAGUUGUACACUUUGCCUUGAACGUGGUGGCAGUGAGUCUGAAAAAUGUUUUCUCGUUGUUGUUCAUCUUCGACUCCUUGGUUGUUUAAAAUUCAUUUUACAACGAGGAUCUCUCUUUCGAUGGGCAUCUCAAGUUAUUCUUCAUCAGUGGGGGUUUCAGGUUCUUCUUCCUUUUCAUCUUUGAACUCAAUUUCACGAUUUGGUCGAACCACCAUCAUCCGAUGAUUAGGACAUUAACUAGCAAUGUGUCCCCUCCCUUGGCACUUGAAACACUUAAUAUCUCGAGAAUGAUUGGAAGCAGGUUCGUUCUUGUUCUUACUUGCCUCGCCACUUGGUUGAUUGGAUUUUGUGGCUAUGAUAGGUUCCUUGGAACAAAUGGGAGUUCUGAUCGGCCCUUAACUCCACUUGUUACCAGAAGAGAAUGGAUAGGCUCAAUUGGCUCCCUUCUGCUUCAAUUGUUUCUCGACUUUUAUUGCCAUAUGGACCAUGUCCAUCACUUCAACAUAGUGCUGAAGUUCCACUAUAUUGGAAAUGUCUCGAUUCAAGCCCGCUAGAAAUCUCGCCAUCGUCGCUUCACGAUCUUCCUCCACGUCGGCUUGUAUCUUAGCAACCUCCAUUUCUUUGUAAUAAUCUUCGACACUUCAGUUUCCUUGAGUGAGAUUUUGUAGCCUUGUUAUAAAUCUCGGUGAUAGUAUGAGGGAACAAAGCGUUUUUGCAUGACAACUUCAUUUCGGCCCAAGUCGAGAUAGGCCUUUCCCCGUUCCUCCUUCAACUAGUCACGAGCAGAUCCCACCAUAUGAUUGCAUAAUCAGAAAACUCUAUGGCGGCUAACUUCACUUUCUUGCUCUCCGAGUAGUUAUGACACUCGAAGACGAGCUUUUUUUUUCCCACUCCAAAUAUGCUUCCGGAUCAUUUUUGCCUUGGAAUAAUGGUAUAGACAUUUUAAUGUUCUUGAGGUUGUCGUUGGGUUGAUCUGAUACGAACCUGCCUCACGAACUACUUUUGUCAAGCUUACCAAGCCGAGCAUUGCACUAUUGGCAAGUUAAUCCUAGCUCGUUUUUAGCUCCCCGAGCUCCGUCCAGCUCAAUUUAGUUUAUUAUUGGGUUAAUUUUGGUUUGACUCAGCUCAUUAGAGCUCAACUCGGUUUGAUGCAAGCUCAUUAGCUUAAUUCGAAAUUAUUUAAUUCCAUGCAUCUUAAUUUACUAAAUAAAUUAAAUUAAUUAAGUUAGUGAAUUUUAGUUAAAGUCAACUCAAAUAAUUAGUUCCUUUAAGUGUGUCAAAAUUUGGACAUAAUUAAUUAAAGUUUAAUGUGUAUUUAGUUAGGAUAGAUUAAUUUCAUGAUAAAAAUUAAUUCUAACCGAAUUUAAUUCAUGUUGCUACUUUGUCCAGCCGAAUUUAUCGUGCAUGUUAAUUGCUGUCCGAAUUAAAGAGAUGUUGGAGCAAGCAUGGGAUGAAUUUAAGGAGUUGUUCAGCAUGCAAGGGGCGUCCAUUAAAGAGGCUGUUUGUGGCAACCAUGCAUGGCCAAAUUAAUUACUAUUUACUUGAUGCAUUAAUUUUUUGUAGGUUCAUGGCAAGAAACGAAUUUAAUAUGCAGCACUUAAGAGGGUGUUUUGUGCAUGGCCAAGACAUGUUCAUAGACGGCAUUUAUUAAAGUGUUUCCCAUGCAUGGACGACUUAAAUGAGCUGCUGAAGCAUUAAAGAAAACAUACAUGGAUAACAUUAAAAGUUACUGAAUUUUCCUUCUUCCCAUAUGCCUUUUCAUGGAGACAAAUGGACAAAGAAUUAAAGACAUGCUGGUUGAUAUUUCCCAAGUGGCCAUUCGGCCAAAGCAUGCAUGAAGGCUUCCAUUCAUUGUCUCCUUAGUCGAAUCUAGACAUGGCUAUCAAGCUCCCAUGCUUCACAUUCAUUCAGUCGAAUUGCUUCUCCAUGAAGCAUGCCCAAUGGUGUUCCAAGUAGCUGAAUUUAGGCUUAGUCACUUAAUGAUUUUCUUCUAGUUUAUUCUAGGAUUUUCUAGCCAAAUUUUACUUAGUCUUUAAGCAAUGUUCUUUUAUCCAUUCGGCUACCUUCCCUUAGCUUAUAAAUAGUUUUUUGUUGUCAUUUGAAAGGUUGUUGAACUUUGAUUAUUGUUUCUUUGUUAAUGAAACUAUUUGGUGAGAUUCUUUUUUCUCUAAUUUCGUUGAAGACUUGGUGGCUUAUCUAGGAAGCCUAGCGGUGUCAACCUAUUUUUCAUCUAUCCUGAACUUAUUACUAUUCAUAGUGUGGUGUUUGAAACUAUACCAAGGUUCCUACUUUACUAAGUAGUGGGUCGAGGUUUACCUUCUUUCAACCGAUCACCUUAAAAGCCUAUAAGCAAUUGGGUCAGUACUCUCUAGUAUUGGUUCGUGCUUGCUUUUGAGUUCCUUUCCUUCCAUACUUACAUUUCAUCUUAUCCAAACCGAACGACACUUCCUCAUAGAUGAUCGGGCAUUUCACAUACGACUUGACUCAUCCCUGAGGCAGAUCGUAUCACGAUCUCUUUCUCGAUGACCCCGAUAUCAUUGGCCUUGAUUCCACACACUCCGAGCAGAUGAGUGGUCACGAUCACUUGACUCAUAAGGCUCCUCCUGAUUUUGAUUAGGUCACCCACGUCCUCGACUUGCACCCUCAGGGCUUCCUUCACAUUGUUCUCGUGCCUCGACUCAGAAUAGUCUAUCCUCGAUGGGCUCGAGCUUUUGAUCGAAAAGCCUCUCCAUUUCACGCAUAAGGGCUUGUAAAGUUAAGUCAGGCACUCCUCCACCAGCAACGUUGCGAACAGGUCACAAUCCUCCUCCAUCUAUCGGAUUUCUUUCGCGACUUCUAGAGACGAGAUUUUUUUUAAAAAGAAGAACACACAACAAAUCGUCACACUUCACUCACAAGAAAAUUUACACUAAUCAGCUUUUAUUCUCUUGGUUGAUCUCACCGCUCUCUUGCCUUUUUCACUCGAGUUCACCUCUCAAAGUUCUCCAUGGACUAUUUAGAUGAAUCAGCACCCGUUGGGGUCGGCUUACAAAAGUGAUGUGGUUAGGUGUAGGAUUGAUGUCAAGACUAAUGGUAGGCUUAGCAAAAAAGAGAUAAAAGGGGGUUAAGUGUGGCUGAGUGAUUUUGGGUUAAAGAAGUGAUUUUGAGUAGAAAAAUUAAUACGACUAACUUUCUCUUCUCUCUUUUUUUUUUAUACUUUCAAUUUUUUUUUUGCUAAUUUUGAAUUUUGCUCUGUAAGAUAUUUUUCUUGUACGAAUUUUUUUGAAUUUUUUUGUUUUUUUGCUAAAAUGCAAUCCCGAAAAUAUCAAAAACGUAGAUUCGUACCUCAUUUAACCAGCUCUGGUACCAAAUGAUACACACUCACCUCGAUUAAGAAUUGAGUCGUAAAGUUUGCCUUAUCGUUAAAUUGAGUAAGCUUAAAAUGGUUUGCAAAUAGGCUUGAAAUUGAAGAAGAAAGGUUCAAAUGGAAAUAGGCCAAAGUUGGCUAGGGAAAAUAGGAAUAUGGUUCGACUAAGGUUCAAGAAUGAACUAACACAAUAAUCGUGUGUUAACCCAAAACUUAUAAGAACACUUAGGAAAAAGGAAUGGCAACAAAAAGGUAGGUGGAUAGGUUAAUGAUCGAGACCCUCUAUCUAUGCGAGAUAGGAACCUUCGGUAUAGCGAACACCACACUUUGGGACAAAGUGAUAAUUUUGAAAACAAAGACGGAUUGAUGUUGCUUGAUAAGUCAGGUCAUUCUUUGGAGAACAGUGAGAGCUGAACACACUCACAAUAUAACUAAAAGUUAAUAAAAUCUUCAUUAACCUUUUACAAGAGAAAAACAUCUCAUAUUUAUAGCCUAAACAAUGGGUAGCCAUUUGACUAUAUGGGAUACUAAAUGGAUGGCUAAAUUAAGUUAGAAAGAGGCUAGAAGUUUCCUUGCAGCUUCUUGGACGUCCCUAGAAUCUUCCUAGCUUAGAAAACAUGAAUAGACACCUUCUAGAUGUUGAUUGUUUACCUGAACAUUGAUGGAGUUGUUGGAGAAGUUGAAUAGUGUUGUCCAUGUUUGGCAAAGGUGAUUAAAAUCAGCUUGAAUGCUCCUGAUACGAUCUGCCUCAGGGUGAGUCGAGUCGUAUGUGAGUUUGCCCGAUUGUCUACGAAGAAGUAGCGUUUGAUUUAUUCAAAAGGAUGUUUUAACAUAAAUAAUGGCGAAAGCUAUGUAAAAGGAUUCAAAGAUAGGUUUAUGGAUAUGAAGUUAUGUAGAUGGGUUUAUGGAUAUAAAGUUUUUGUAGGUUUGGUUAUAAUGAAACGAAAAGAUGGAAUGGAAUGGAAUGGAAAUGAAAAUGAUCUCAAAAACAAACACGAACCAAUAUUAAAAAAUAUUGACCCAAAUGUUUAUAAGUUUUCAAGGUGGUCAGAUGGAGAAUAUGAGAACCUCGACCCGCUACUUAGCAAAGUAGGAACCUUGGUAUGUUUGAACGCCACACUACGAGUAGUGAUAAGUUCAGUUUUCAACAAAGAAAAUGGAUGACACAACUAGAACACUAGGUAGCCAACAAAUCUUUGAACGAAAAUAGAGAAAAGUUUGCCUCACAAAUUUGGCAGAAUAUCAUUAACAAAAAUAUUCCAAAAAGUAGUCUCCCUUCAAAAGGCUGGUUACAUGAAUUUAUAGUGUCAAAAGGAAAGCUAGCUGAAAGGUCACUUUUAAUGAAGCUAAUAAUGAGGCCUAAUGAAAAGUCACAACUAUAGAAAUUCUAUUCCAAGUAACUCCAGCCUUCAAUGUGAUUUACUUCUUCAAUUAAGUUGCUUUCAAAGUCUUUUGAAGUCUCCAUGAGCAACCGAAAAGACACGAGCUUCUUUGAUGGAGAAUUGAAUGCAUGUAGUGAUUACUCAUGAAGCAAACGGUUAUGGAAGAUGAAACAAAGUUGCUGCCUAAUUUAAAGAAGAAUAAUGCUCUCCUUUAAUUGAUAGAAAGAACUUCUUAAUGAUAUUUAAAGCCUCUUUGUAACAACCCUCUCUUUUGUAACUGAAAUCUCUUGAAAAGUCACCUUAUUGAAUGCAUAACAGCCUUUAAUAAUAAUAGAUGGGAGCUAAAAAGUCACCUGCAAUUAACACAUGUAACCGUCACAUUUAUUCAUUUAUUAAGCUUAAAACAAAUUAACAACUAACUUAAAUAAAUGAGCUAACACUUAUGCAUCAUUUAUUCCAGCAACAAGUUUAAUUAAGAGAAGCAUUAUUAAAUGAACUUAAAGUCAUGCAUCAAUAAAUUAUCCUAGGAACUAGAUUAUUUAAAGAAGCAACUAUUAAAUAAAGUUCAACAAAAAUACUUAUUAAUUAAACUAAGAUGAGUUGAAAAAAUGUCCAGCAACUCAUUUAUUAAACUAAGAUGCUUAAAUGCAUGGUUUAAAAUGCAAACUAAAUGAACAAAUGAGUUACUUAAUGCAAGACUUAAUUUAAUGAAGCUGACUUAAACUAACAUCGGAGUCACAUAAUGUAUGACUUUAUUAAAUGCAGAACACAUAAUGCAUGUCAUAAUUAAAAUAUAUAUUUAAUAAAUAAAACAUAAUUAAAGACUAAAGUAACUAAGAUAAAUCAAGUCUUUAUUCCAACAGCAUAAAUGAAUUUAAAGGUCUCAUUUUGCAUUUGGGCCCCUCGAGUUUAGUCCAAUCUCGAUGUCGUCGAGAUGUACCGAAACAUGAUGCGACCGGGAUCGCAUCAGCUCCUUAAAUGUGUUGCUUGAUUGAGCUAAAAUGACUUGACUUUAAUGAAACCAGCAGCCCUUUAAGUAUGAAAACAUAGAACCAAUCAGCCAGCAAAUGUGAACAUAAUAGAUGCUACUUGGGGGAGUUGGCCGACUAUCCUUGAGGAGAGAAAACAACACCAUCUAAUACAAGCACGCCCUGGAGCUCCUCUAGCUCGAACUAGGAUCCGAUCGAGCUACCCCAAGGCCUCAUUAAGCAAGCACGAGCUAAAUCCUUUAAAGAACACAUUUCGGCUUAGUUGCUCACAUAUGGAAUGAAACCAAGGCUGGAUGCAUUGAAGGAGCUCGAACCAGCUCAACAAAGACUUCUUGCAUUCUUUUGCAAGUUGACCUUAGCUCCCAUUCGAUUCCAUGAGCUCAACUCAGCUCCAUCUAGCUCAAUUGAGCUCAUUCUUAAUUUCUAUGUAAUCAUGUUUACUGGAAUAAAUUAAAUAAGCUAGUUAAAUUAGUCAAUGUCAGCCUAAAUAAUUAAUUGUGUUUUAAUUUGUCUAAUUCUGGACAUUUUAAUUAAGUUUAAAUAUGUCUUAGUUUGUUCAUAUUUAUUAGCUAUUUUAAUGUGUCAAGUUUAGGACCAAUUUAAAGCUUGCUGCCCAUUUAAGUUGUCCAGCUGAUUUAGCUAAUUAAGAUGUUCUAAGCUACAGCCGAAUUUAAGACAUGUCUUAAAACUUACAUGUUUAAUGUGUCUUAGCUAAAUAUAUGGUUUUAAUAUGUCUGUGAGCUGCUGAAAUUAAUGUGUCUAAGUUGAGUUAAUAUGCUGAACUAAUUUGAGCACAGGUGCAAUGUUUGGGAAGACAUUAAUGCAAGUUUAGCCGCUGAUUUAUUUUCUCCAAAAGACAUGAUGGUUCAGUCAUUGCAACAGCCACAACAAGCUGCUGAUUAUUCUUCCCAUAGUGACUGGUUAGCUCCUCCAAGCUACCAUUGAUACGCCCUCACCUCGAGAUCGAAUUGAGUCGUAAAGAUCGCCCGAUCGUGAAUUAGGAGUAAAUUGAGGCUUUACAAAAUAGGCUAGAAGAAAGAGGUUUAUUUAGGCUCAAAAGGGUUUUGUUGGUUUAGGAAAUGAAUUAGAAAACAAUGGAAGCAAUUUGGCUAAGGAUUCGAAAGCCGAACUAACACAAUAGGAAUGUGUUAACCCGUAACUUAGGAGAAUGCUUAGGUUGGUAAGGAUGGAUGGAAGGUUUGUUAAAUGGAAAGAAACUUCGACCCACUAUCAAUGGUGAUAGGAACCUUAGUAUGAAUCGAACGCCACACUUUUGGGAUUAAAGUGAUAAGUUCGGGAAGAAACAAAAACAAGUUUGACGCCACAAAGAUGUUUGAUAAGUCUCACAAGUUUUUGGAGAAUAACGAGAGUUGAAAACAACCUCACAAUUUAGCAAAGCUAUCAAAUUGUUCAUUAACCUCAAAAUGUGAAUUACAUGACCUAUUUAUAGCUUGACUAAGGCAGCCGAAUAGCCUAUCUAAUCAGAUCCUUAUGCCUUAAGUUUCUUGAGGAAACUUCCUAGAAAUUUCCUAGUUACAUUCAUGUGAUGAAAUUCUGAAAAUUAACCUUCUAGAAAAAGAUGAUUCGGCUGGCCCCUUUAAUGGAGAAAAUUCACAUUCGGUUAAUGUUUUAAAAGAGCUUAAUUGCUGCUAUGGAGAAGAGAAAUGGACAGCUUCAAAAAUUAUGCUUCUUUGGCCGAAUAUGAAUAGCCUCCACAUGAAUUGGCUGCUGGAAUUUAUGAGGCACUCUUUGGCCAUUGCUCUCCACGAAAUUGGCCCUUGGAGAAGCUCAAAAACAUCAGCUAGAAGUCCAUUGAGCUGCACGAAAAGUCAGCUGGAAAUACAAGGCAGCUGCACUUUAAAUGCCGUCCAUGCAUGUGCCCAAAUACAUGCUCCUUCUUUAUGAACUUUCUUUGCCAUUAAGCUAGCUGAAAAAACAUCAAAUAAAUGUGAUUAGGACAAGUUUAAUACUCAUGAAAUCAGCAGCUAGACAUAUUAAAAUUCUGCACAUUAAUUCGGCUAAGACAAAUUAAUUAGCAGCCACUAAUAAAUUUGUCUUAGUCAAGACACAUUAAAACUUUGUAAUUAAACUAAACACAUUUAAUUUAUGACUUAAUAUGGAAAUAUUAAAGGCAUGUACUAAUAUAAAACAUAUUUAAUAAGCUGAAUUAAAAAUGUCCAGAUUAAGACACAUUUAUUUAAUUAAAUGAUUUGAGCUGAUUCUAAACUAACACAACUAAUUAAAUUUAUUAAAAAUAAAUUUAAUCAGCUCCUUGAACUAAUUAAGUGCCGAAUUGAGCUAAAUUGAGCUGACACAAGCUAAAAUCAGCUUGUAGGAAAUUGCGAAUCAAGCUAGUUGAGCUGGGCGUUUUAUGGGCAAUCAACCCAUCACUCCACAAUCGAGCAAUAUAGCUUGCUACAGCAUCUUGGAACUUCUUGGCACGUGCUUGAGUAAUUGGCCCCAAAGGCAACUCCAUGGAUUCGGCACCUAUCUUCAUGGGCGAGCUCAUAUCAACCAUUGAAAGCUUUCACACCAUCAACCCAUGUUAUUCACAUUACAAGGCUAUUCAUAUUUUUACUUUCACACCUUGUGGUCGAUUGUCUCCUUCUAUUCACAUUUCAUGGUCAGCUAGCUACCCAAGAAGUUCAUUAAAACUUCAUGUCCAUUCAGCUUUUCUAAGCAUCAGCUUAAUUAAACUUCCCAAACACCAAGGCCAAAUUUAUUGAUGCAACUUAGCACCCAAAACAUUCAAUUAAGUUCCAGCUGAACUAAGGUAUCUAGAAGCUGCCCUUUGACGUCUCCCAUGCACAAGGAAACUUCCUGGAAAUUUCUUGAAGUAUUUUGGAAUUCUUAGCUCAUUUAAAAGCUGAAAUUAAGUUACCAUUCAACUAGCUUUGUGACUAUUCGGCUAGACUAAGAUCAGCACUAUAAAUAUGUAACUCUUUUCUUUGUUUUAGAACUUUUGUUAACUUGAAUGUUAUCCAAGUGUUUUUGUGAGAAUUUAUUCUCUCAAUUUCAUCCAAAGACUCAGCUGACUUAUCUACUUAGUUAGUGGCGUCAACCUGAAUCUUUUCUGAACUUAUGACUCCACUUGAGUGUGGCGUUCACCAUCCUACAUACCACUGAUUCUUACCUUUUUAGGUAACGGGUCAAGGUCGAUAUCACGAUCAACUAUCCCCUUAAGAUAUUAUAAGUUUUGCGUUCCGUCCAUCAUCAAUUACCCACCUAACCGAACAAGCUAUCAUCUAUACUUUUAUUUCUUGUUAGCUGUACCUAUAACUAUCCAAACUCAACAAUUUUGAAUCCAUAUUUGUUCCUAAACCCCAAUCUAAGCCUAAUUCCAUCCAAUCUUCACAAGUCGAAUGACACUUCUUCGUUAGAUGAUCGACCAUCUAAACGACUCAACUUACUAAAUUGAGGUGAGAUCGUAUUAUUUGGUAUCAAAGCUAUUUAAAAUGAGAAGUACGAACAUUCGGAGACACCCCAGAGUAGGUUUGUAAAAAAUUCAAAAAUAUAUAUAUAUUUAGAAUUAUUUCGUGUAUUACAAAGGUAUUGUAGUUCUAUAUAUUGAAAAAAAUUCAAAAAUUAUUUUUUUUAAAAAAGAAAGUGAUUAAAAGUUUAUUUUCAUUGUCUGUAAUCUCGAUCAACAAAAUUUCGCUUCUAUUUCCCUUGCUACCCUACACGCCACAUUCAAAGCCCAUUUUGAUUUCUUUUCAGCCUACCCUACACCUUCUUCAUCAAUCCCUUGCAACCCUUUUGAGACCAACUUUUUAUACUAGAGAACAAUUUUAAUUGAGUCUUAUACAAAAUUACGUGAGAAGAAACGAGAGGAAAAAGGCACGAGUGCAAGAGCGCAAUAGAGAGAAGAAAAAGCCAAAAUAAAAGAGCAAACACGAGUGUGAGUGCCAUCGAUUCCUUUCUUUCCGAGUGACCAUGAGGUUUUGUUGUGAGAUUUAAAGCUUUUAUGUCCAGAAGUCCUAAUUGUAAUAUGGAAGAAAUAGCCAAAAGGCAACCAGUCCAAAAUGUCUUGGAUCUAAAUCUCCAAGCCUUGCUGUGAGAGGUGGAGCGAUUGUUUGAUCAAAAGCUAGUGCCUAUCCAAGAAAGGCUUGAUCAAGUUGAGGAAAGAGCCCAACGGAGGAGAUCGCCCCAAAGUCCACCAAGAAAUCAAGGCCGACAAUAACUUAACGAAGAUGAUCUGUUCGACCCUAGCGAAGCUGAGAGUGACCAAGGUCCAACUUGAGUGUUCGGCGAAGGGGGCAAUGGAAUCGAGGCCAAAGAGACUGAGGGCGAGGAGACAAAGACUUAAAGAAUAUCAAACUUUCAAUUCCUCAUUUUCAAGGCAAGUCCAAUCCUGAAGCCUAUCUAGAGUGGGAGAAGAAAAUUGAAUUGGUAUUCGAUUGCCACAAUUAUUCCGAGAAUAAGAAAGUCAAGUUGGCCACAAUUGAGUUUUCAGACUACGCAAUGAUCUGGUGGGAUCAAUUAACCACUAGCCGUAGACGCAACGGAGAGUGACCCAUCACUACUUGGGCUGAGAUGAAAGCGGCCAUGCGACGGUGAUUUAUCCCCUCUUACUACCACUGGGAGCUUCAUCAGAAACUUCAAAAUUUCACUCAAGGAAUGAGGAGUGUUGAAGAUUAUUACAAGGAAAUGGAGGUCGCAAUGAUUCGCGUGGAUGUAGUAGAAGAUCGUAAGGCGAUAGCCCAUUUCCUAGCUGGACUCAAUCGAGACAUAGCUAAUGUCAUAGAGCUGCAACACUACAUCGAGGCGGUGCACAUUGUACACAUGGCCAUUAAGGUGGAGAAACAAUUAAAACGAAAAGGAGCUGUCUGAGGCUAUUCCACUGCGAACGCCUUAGAUCGUAUGAAUGGGACUAUGACUCCUCCGAGAGAAGCUGAUAAAGGGCUAAACCGGGCAUUCCUACAAGAUGUAUUGAUACGAGUCACAAAAGCCCAAAUUCUUGAAGGCGAGGCCCAAUAAGCAAAUUCCCAGCCCAAUCAAGAAAUCCAUCCAUACUUAGUUGAAAAUCAGGCCAAAUUGUCAAAGUGGCCCAAGUUGUAAAGUUUUAUUUUUAUUUAUUUAUUUAUUUAUUUACUUAGUUUAAAUUUUUAUGUCAAUAUUCAGUCCAAGAGUCCCAGAUAAAAUGACCUUUGACCAAAUUUCCAUAUUAAAAUAAUUAGGAGUUUUUUUUAUUUUAGUUUUCUAAUUAGAUUAGGACUAGUUAUAAGGCCUAUUUAAAGGCAUGGCUAUCCACCUUGUUAAACACUUAUAAUUAUUAUUAAAAUUUCAGAUUUGUUGAGAGCAGAAUUUUCUUUGAGUUUUCUCCAAGAUUUCUCUCUUGAGUUUUCUUUAGAAGUUGUUUUAACAAUCUUGUGAUUGUGGGAGCCAUCUUCAACCUUCUUCUUGCCAUCGAUAUUCUUUGGAGGGGAGAUUAGAGCCGUUUGAAGGAAUUUGUGAAUUCUUUCGGGAAUUCAAGGGUUCUUAGGACUUUUCUUUAUUUCUUGCUGUUUCGAUUUGUUUCUUUAUUCCUACUUGUGCCGAUUCAUCAUCUAAUAUUUUGCUGUUCUUGUUUGUGUUUCAGCCUUGAUUCAAACUCCAAGAACUCUUCAUUUAAUCGGUUCUUUUAUUGGCCACAUAUAAUCGACUCAAAAUUCCCCAAAAUUUAGGGUUCUUGCCGUUUUCUAUUUCUUCUUGUUGGGUGAAAUUCGGCUGCUGAAAUUUGGGCAAUUCAUAUUGGGUGUUCAAUUGGACCGAAUCGCAACUUAAAUUCACUUCUUGAACUGUUCAAUUUCACCUAUUUCUUUCUUUUCUUUUUUUUUGCCGCCCAAAUCCCUAAUCUUCCAAUUAAAAAUCUGAUUGUUUCAAUCUACUUACUGUUUUGGUGUUCUUGGCAGAUUCGGCUUGUGGGAGUUCAUUCUUGGGAAUCAAUUUCGUGUUCUUGGUUUCAAGAAACCUCUUUCAUAUGUGUUUCGUUCCUUGAUUAGAUCUUGCUGAUUUUUUUAGGGUUCUUAUUCCAGAUUUUAAUUUUCCAGAUUUAAUCUCGUUCUUUGUUUGAUUUCAGAUCUGUUCGUUUAGAGCUUUCGUAGGAGUUUCUCGUGACUUGGCAACUCGAUCUUGGUCCGCGCGCAACCCUAUAUCAUUUGGUAUCAGAUUUUGGGCGUUUUGGGUGUUCUUGGUUGAUUUCUAAACUGAUCUCUAUUUUUUAAAUUACAAACAGCAGUUUUACCCAGAAAAAUUUUCGAAAAAAAAUUCAUUUGAGUGGGUAAACGUUUUCUGAUUGAUCUGAAAUUUUACAUACAUAUUUUUGGCACUGUUAUUGAAUAUAAAAAAAUAUUUCCCGCAAAAAAAUAAGUCGAAAAAGUCAAAAAAUUGAAAAAAUACGAAAUCCAAUAAAAAAUUAAAAAAAUAUUCAGCGGGUUGAAUUUGGUGCCCAAAUUUUCCAGAUAAAAAAUUAAAUAUUUGAAGACAUUCCAGAUUUAAUUUUGUGAUUUUUUGAGAUCAGGAACACCUCGAACGAAGUUGUCAAGUUACUCCGCAGUUUUUCGGGUUUUCUGUUUUCAACAAUUUUUAUUGAUUCUUAGCUGUAGGUUUUCAUUUGUUUGCUUUUUAUUCUCCCUUUACAAUAUCUAACACCUUCUUGUUUUUUGUGUUAGUAGGAUUUAAACGUGUGCCCAAUUCUUCCUCGGUGCAACACGAAUCAAUUGGUGUCUCGUCAGUUCUUGGCAUCCUAGUGCAAAUUAGGAUUCUUUGGUAGUUUGGUUCACACUCUCUAAUUGGUUGAUAUAAACUCUGAUAAAGAACUCACAAGAUUGAAUUCGACCUCAUUGAGAAUUUAAUUUUUCUUUUUGAGUGAUUAAUGGUGAGGUUUGCUAACUUUUAUUUUUGAGUGUUGAGUGUUUAUUUUUUACAGGUUUUGAAGAUAUCUAAAGGCGAUAAUAAUGAUGCACUUAUGAAAGUCCAACAACAGUUAGACAGACAUACUGCUGCAAUCACACAAAUAAAUGCUACACUUCAAGCAUUGAAUACUACUUUGAAUGAGGUACGAGUGAAUCAAAAACAUCAAUAUCGAGAUCCAAUUAAGGAAGAUAGGGAUAACCAGCCCCAUAGGUGCAACCCUCAACGUGUCCCUAGAAUGGAUGAUGAUAGUCAUGAUCAUGGACAAUCAUCUUUGGCAAAACCAAAGAGCGAGCAGCAACGAGAACAUCUCUUUCAUACUCACUGCCACGUACAAGGUAAGCUUUGUAGAGUUAUUAUUGAUGGUGAAAGUUGCUCGAACAUAGCCAGCACGACGAUGGUGGAAAAGCUUUGCUUAACCACUACCAAGCAUCCACAACCUUAUCAACUACAAGGGCUUAGCAACGAAGGCCAAUUUAGGGUCACUCAACAAGUGCGCAUCGCCUUUUCUAUCGGUAAGUAUCCAGACGAAGUUGUGUGCAACGUAAUGCCUAUUCAAGCCUGCCAUUUGUUGCUAGGAGAACCGUGGCAACUGGAUCGAAAAGUCACUCACGAUGGUCGUACCAAUAGGUAUUCUUACAAGCAUCAAGGAAAGAAACUCACCUUAGUGCCGCUCACUCUGGAACAAGUCCAUGAGGACCAAAUCAAACUGAAAAAUUCUGUUAAAACAAGUGAGGAAAAAGAAAAAGAGAAUGAAAAAGAGCAAAAAGAGAUUGAGAGUGAAAAAGAAAUUGAAGAAAGAAGAGAAAAUGAAUUAGAAAAAGAAACAAAAGAAAUAGAUGUGGAAAGGCUAGUGAGGAAUGUUUCCACUAACCAAGAUAUGAAUUUUUCUUAUGUUGCUACUUUUCAGGUUCCCAAAAGAUCGAAAGAUAACUUUCAACUUCAAUACCUCUCAAAUGAAAGACGCUUUCAUACGAUCAACUUAAGCAAAGAUGAAAUCACACUACAUGAUCCCGAAGGUAAGCGAGGUAAGGAAAUUUUAGAAACCGAGUCCAGUGCAGAUUUGAAAAUUAUUGAUAAAACUUUUGGUGACUUAGUUCUUAAAAGAUCCCCUCAUUUUGAUCCGAUUAAUUGUUACUCUUCGAUUGUGGUUGAUAAAGUCAUUACGAAAAGAAGCGUGAUUUGUUAUUCUCUUGAUUUACCUUGUGUAAAAUCCUUGAAUUUGUCCAAAUCUGUUUUGGAGAAUAAGGUAACAAAAUUUUCCAAAUUUGUUUUCAAUUUAUAUUCGUGCGUUAAACAGUUUAUGUGGUUGUACAUGAAGUUUGAGUUCCAUUUGACAAACAUUAACUCAACAACGAAGAUUCGACUACACUAUGCCCCCGAUGAGCGAAGGUUUGUUUUAAAUGAAAAAGGUAAAAUCGACCCUUAUUCUUCUGCUUAUCGAGGUAAGAUGCUUGAAACCUUUGAAACACUUUUGUACUCCUCGGAUAGUGAUAAAGAUCGUGUUGAUGAACACUUAGAUCGAAACGUGCUUGACUAUCCUAUUUUAUUUAUUGAUGAUCUAUCUGUUUUGAUGGUUGAUAAAAAGAUUCUUGUUUUUGAUAAUGCAUGUGUGAGUGAAUCUAUAGACCGUUGAUUAAUGCAUGGUAUGAUUAUGCAACUCUGUGAACCAUGUGAAUCUUUUCAAAUACCUACUUGUGACGAUUAUGUUUACCAUUUGAUUUAUUACUCGCAAUUUAUUCAUGGUUUGUGGGAACAAUGUGAGAUGACUGAAUGCCUUAAAACAUGUCCAUCUUUGUUUCAAAUAUUUGACGAGGCAGUGGUGAGUAAAUUAGAUUGUUUGCAUGGUAAUCUGAAUCUGUCCAUUCACAUGCGUUAUACCUGUUCUAUUAUGCUUAUGAUUGGACUACAAACUUAUUUCCGUUGCUAUUUACUAUCUCAUGGCUAUUCUUCUCAGUGGACUCAAUUGCCAUUAGUCCCGUUCGAUAGAGGAAAGUCGAGUUCAUUUGAUUUUUCAGAUUCGAGGACGAAUCUUUUUGAGGAAGGGGGAAUGAUACGAGUCACAAAAGCCCAAAUUCUUGAAGGCGAGGCCCAAUAAGCAAAUUCCCAGCCCAAUCAAGAAAUCCAUCCAUACUUAGUUGAAAAUCAGGCCAAAUUGUCAAAGUGGCCCAAGUUGUAAAGUUUUAUUUUUAUUUUUAUUUAUUUAUUUAUUUAUUUACUUAGUUUAAAUUUUUAUGUCAAUAUUCAGUCCAAGAGUCCCAGAUAAAAUGACCUUUGACCAAAUUUUCAUAUUAAAAUAAUUAGGAGUUUUUUUUAUUUUAGUUUUCUAAUUAGAUUAGGACUAGUUAUAAGGCCUAUUUAAAGGCAUGGCUAUCCACCUUGUUAAACACUUAUCAUUAUUAUUAAAAUUUCAGAUUUGUUGAGAGCAGAAUUUUCUUUGAGUUUUCUCCAAGAUUUCUCUCUUGAGUUUUCUUUAGAAGUUGUUUUAACAAUCUUGUGAUUGUGGGAGCCAUCUUCAACCUUCUUCUUGCCAUUGAUAUUCUUUGGAGGGGAGAUUAGAGCCGUUUGAAGGGAGUUGUGAGAUCUUUCGAGAUUUCAAGGCUUCUUAGGACUUAUCUUUUAAUUUCUUACUGUCAAUUCUUUCUUUAUUUCUGCUUGUACCGAAUCUUUAUCUAAUUUAUUUUCUGUUCUUAUUGUGUUUUCAGCCUUUUUCUAUCUUAAGGAAUUAGCCCAAAAAUCCCCAAUUUCUAGGGUUCUUGCCGAUUCAUCCAUACUCUUUUUGGGAGAAAUUAGAUUGCCGAAAUUUGGGGAAAACUAUCUUGGUGUUCAAUUGGGCAGAAUCACAAUCUCCUUGAGGGUUUCAAGAACCCUAACACUUAUUUCUAUUCUCAAUUUGAUUCUUUGCUGAUUUGGGGAUUUUAUUUCAGAUCUGAAAAUUCAAAAAUCUAAUCUUUUAAUUUUCUGUUUCGUUUCAGAUCUAAUUGUUUAGGGUUUUCGUAGGAGUUUCUCGUGACUUGGCAACUCGAUCUUGGUCCGCUCGCAACCCCGUAUCAUGUAUAGGGGAGGAAAAAGGCUUAGCCUAAAGCUUUUGAUUUUGCUAAAUUUGUAGCAGAGGUUGAUGGAGAAUGAGAGGGUGGCAGAACGGAAUUAGAAAAGUGGGAAGUUCUUUUGUUGAAUCACUCACUUCGUUUGGUUUCGCGUCUUCGCCCGGGGAAGGUUAAUCGGGAGAGGGAGAUGUAGUAGAUGGUGGAGCUGGCCAAGCACUAGAGAUUGAGAGUUUGGUUCGAUGGCCGGGAUCACUUGCUUCACUUUCGUCCCUUCCACCGGGAAACUUCGUUCUUCCCUCCGCUUCACCAACUUGAAAGGAUGAAGACUUGGAAAAGGUGUUGUUGGAUGGCCUUUGGAUUAUUCAGGACCACUAUCUCACGGUUCGACAAUGGGAUCCAUCCUUUAGACCUUUUAUAACCAGAAUUCCUUCCACUUAUGUUUUGGUUCGGUUAGCAAAGCUGGUGUGUAGUGACUCGUUGGGGCUUUGGGCGAUCUGAGUAGGGCAUUCCACAUGGGAGGAAGGGGAAGUUUGCCUGGUUGAUCUAUCUACUCCAGCUUUAACCGUAGUUUUCUCUUAUGGGGAAGGGCGGACGAAGCCACUUUGGCAAACAGGAGCCAGACAAGUCAAAAAGGUGAUGGGAAAUUUCCAAUUAGAUCGAGAUUCUUCUUUCUUAUUAUGGAUAGAGGUUUGCUUUGCCAGGUGUAACCGAUGCCACAAAGGUUGAAAAUUGAGAUUCCCUAAUGCCGUUUACUUGACGUGAGGUCAUUCCUUUCAACUAGCCUAUACCCAUCAUAUGAGGAGCUUUGGAUCAAAUGGUGCCUAGCCUUUCGAAAGGAAGCCUAUCUGUCUGUACACACCUUAUGACUCGAGUGUACCAAAAGAGAUCAGAUCCUGAUUCAAGACUUUCGAGAUUUAGGGGUUGUUCUUCGCUGAGAGCUUCUUCACUUAAUUACCAAAAUGAAAUCUACUUUCUUUUUUUCGCUCGCUGCCCGAUGCGUUCUUUAACUUUAAAGCCCUGCUAUACGUGUAGGAUAGGUGUAAGGCACAUGCUUCUCUUUACGACGUAAAGGAAAGACUUCUUUUCUCUAAAGAUGAUACGGGGUUGCGCGCGGACCAAGAUCAAGUUGCCAAGUCACGAGAAACUCCUACGAAAACCCUAAACAAUUAGAUCUGAAACGAAACAAAAAAUUAAAAGAUUAGAUUUUUAAAUUUUCAGAUCUGAAAUAAAAUCCCCAAAACAGUAAAGAAUCAAAUAGAGAAUAAAAAUAAGUGUUAAUAAGGAAUCUUGAAACCCUAGAAGAGAUUGCGAUUCUACCCAAUUGAACACCUAGAUAGUUUUCCCCAAAUUUCAGCAAUCUAAUUUCUCCCAAAAAGAGUAUGGAUGAAUCGGCAAGAACCCUAGAAAUUGGGGAUUUUUGGGCUAAUUCCUUAAGAUAGAAAAAGGCUGAAAACACAAUAAGAACAGAAAAUAAAUUAGAUAAAGAUUCGGUACAAGCAGAAAUAAAGAAAGAAUUGACAGUAACAAAUUAAAAGAUAAGUCCUAAGAAGCCUUGAAAUCCCGAAAGAUCUCACAACUCCCUUCAAACGGCUCUAAUCUCCCCUCCAAAGAAUAUCAAUGGCAAGAAGAAGGUUGAAGAUGGCUCCCACAAUCAAAAAGAUUGUUAAAACAACUUCUAAAGAAAACUCAAGAGAAAAUCCUUGAAGAACUCAAAGAGAAUUUUCACUCAAAUCAAAUCUGAAAUUUUCAAUGUAAUUGUCAUGUAGUGUAGGGUGGCUGGCCAAGCCAUAUAAAUAGGCUUUUCAAAUGUUUUCCUAAUUUAAUUAGAACACUAAAACUAAAACUAAAAAAAAACUCCUAAUUAUUUUAAUAUGGAAAUUCGGCCAAGGGUCUUUUAUUUGAGACUCUUGGACUGAAUAUAAAUAAAUAAAAAUAAAACUUUACAACUUGGGCCACUUUGACAAUUUGGCCUGAUUUUCAACGAAGUAUGGGUGGAUUUCUUGAUUGGGCUUGGAAUCUUCUUAUUGGGCCUCGCCUUCAAGAAUUUGGGCUUUUGUGACUCGUAUCAAAAGACCACUAAUCAAAUCAUGAAAUAGAUAUGUAGGUCUCUCUUCAAGCUUUGGUUUCCCCGAAGGGCACUGCAUAAGGAAGAAGUAGGGUGGUGUAAGGAUCAACCCCUCUCGGGCAAGGGAAGAAAGAGAAGGAUUUUCAGGUUGGUGCGUACGUUCACAUAGCUUUUUCUCUCACGACCCGUCUGGCCACUAUGAAUGAAUAUUAUGUCAAUAGAAUAGAGUAAGUAGUUCUUUCUGUUGUGCCUUUAACAUCGAAGCUAUGGCAGCGAUGCGAACGCUUGUGAGUGCAUUAAGUAAGUCAGAUAGUAAGUAGAUGGUAUGAAGCAGGUCAAUUGUGCAGGAUCGAGCCUUGGCCUUGGAACUGGCUUAUGUAGGGUCUCUCCACUAAGCUUUGAUCUACGUGCACUAUCUUCCUCGGUGACUAAUGCCCUUUUACUGGUCUUUUGUCCAUUGCCUAUGGUCUCCAGUAAGUAGUAUAUAGUUCACUUUCAUCUAUGGCCUGCCCCGCUCUCUUUUCAACUUAGUUAUUAGUACUUCGGAGUGGUGCAUACUCUCCGGCUUGUCUAUUGUUGUCUAUUGAAUGAAUCUUAUGCUUGUUAGGUCCACUCCUGUGUCUUUUCUUGCCAAUUGUUUACUUCGGUGACUCCAACCCCAGAAACAGGAUAUCUUCUAUGCUUCAUUUAGUACAUGCCCAUGAAAGAAAGAAUGGGCAAGAGCCCAACUAUGCGAAAUGAUUUACUCUCGUCUCUCUAUUAAAUGAUCUUUCCCAGGACUGAAAAUAUCGAAUGCUCUUACUCUCCAAGGAAUAGAAAAAGAGUCUUACCUUUCCCACACGCUCUGGCGAGAUAGGAUUGAUUCCAUGUAGAAAGAGAACCUUGGAAAUGCCAUCUAUUUCCAGAAUUAGAGUUCGACCGCAGCUGCCCCUUUUUUGGAGGGGAUCAAGUUCCUUGCCAACUAUCGACCCCAAUCUCUUUUCAUUUGUUUUGGGUAUUACCAAACCUAGCCUAGCCUUCAUCAAUCACACUAAAGCAGAGCACCAACUAUGGCAAGGCCCCCUUAAGGGUUAGGUUAGUCAAUCCAGCUCGAGAUGCGUUCGUUGAAAAAACCGCUGUAGGUAUGGAGACCUUUCAAUAGAGCGGAGGCGAACUGAUCAACGAGAAAGAGGCCCUACUCACUACAAACGAAUACACCAAAAGAUCAAACUGCACUCAUGCCUCUCUCGCAUCAAGUUGACCGCCCCCUACGUAGUGAUCCUAUAGAUGCUGCUUGCUAAGACUGAUCUUUUCCCCAGAAGCGUCACAAAAGUUAUAAAGUUUUGAAGAACAUUCAUCAUUACUGCCAAUUGACCACCAAAGAGAAAAGAGAAGAGGCUCUCUAGUUUCUUGGGUGGUGUCUUGUAUUGUGGUUGGUUGCAGCAGUUGAUUCACUCCUUCCUCAGCAUUCGUUGAUUGGUGGCGUGGGAAAGGGGCAUUCGAUCACGGGCAAAGAUGUCGAUGCAAUUCAUUAUGCAAGUUAUGAAUUCUUUCGGUAGCAGCAUCUGGAGCAAGAACUGGUAGUCUCCCAUGGUCCAGGGGCCUUCGUUCCCUCUUAAGUAGAUAGGCUGGUCUAUUUCGCCUUCACUACAACCAGGAAGCUUUGACGAAAGUCCCAUAUCUGAGUCGCCGGAGAUGCAAGUCUCCCAUUGG
rnacentral:lncRNA from 1 species